GACACACAGGUGAUGUAUCAUGUCUUAUUAUGUAGCUGUGUUGUAGUGUUGUAGCUGUGUUGUAGUGUUGUAGCUGUGUUGUAACUGUUGUAGUGUGUUGUAACUGUGUUAGUUAAGACCAACAUGGAGGACACACAGGUGAUGUAUCAUGUGUCUUAUGUUGUAGCUGUGUUGUAGUUGUAGCUGUGUUGUAGUGUGUUGUAGCUGUGUUGUAGUGUGUUGUAGUGUGUUGUAACUGUGUUAGUUAAGACCAACAUGGAGGACACACAGGUGAUGUAUCAUGUGUCUUAUGUUGUAGCUGUUGUAGUUGUAGCUGUGUUGUAGUGUUGUAGCUGUGUUGUAGUUGUGUUGUAGUGCGUUGAGCUGUGUUGUAGUGUUGUAGCUGUGUUGUAGUUGUGUUGUAGUGCGUUGUAACUGUGUUGUAGUGUGUUGUAACUGUGUUAGUUAAGACCAACAUGGAGGACACACAGGUGAUGUAUCAUGUGUCUUAUUAUGUUGUAGCUGUGUUGUAGUGUUGUAGCUGUGUUGUAGUUGUGUUGUAGUGUGUUGUAACUGUGUUGUAACUGUGUUGUAGUGUGUUGUAACUGUGUUAGUUAAGACCAACAUGGAGGACACACAGGUAAUGGAGAAGUUAAAGGGAGUGCCACAGUUGCUGGCUUCACCUAAGAGAAGCAGCCGAGUUGCUGCCAUCAACACAGCUCUCCAAGUUGUUAACUCUCAAGAUAGUUCCUGACUAUGGAACUGAACUUCUCCAGGCCGAGGGACUGACAACCUCAAAUUCUACGACUACAAGGGUGAUGGACUGAUUACAUCGUCUUCACAUCUCUACUGUUCCUGCCUAUUUUCUGUAUUCGACUGAAGAAGCCUACUGUGUAGGCGAA